rnacentral:ribozyme from 14 species
UUUUUUUCUUUCUUUUCCUCCUUUCUUUUCAAUUUUUCAUAGGGUGAAUUUUGAUCCCCAGAUGGAUAGCAGAAGGGUGAAGGGAGCGGGAAAGAAAAUCCAAUCAAAACAGGAGAAGCUUCAUUGCGGUCAGAAAAUGCCCAGAAGUUGUCAUAACAAAGUGCUAAUUAGAGAGUUGGAAAUUUGGCUGAUGCUUUAUUUAUCA